GGACGAGAGGGCAACGCUCGCUCCGCCCGCGAGAGCUGAGGGCCGGGGCAACGGUGACACCCUCCCGCCAUGUCCCCUCGAGAGAAGGCACAGGGCAGCCUGCCCCCGGCCCGAGGAUGUUAGAUACAGAAAAUAUCUAUUUGGUCAGUCAGUCACUGCUGACUAGUCAAGAGAGGCAAUACUUUACGUAAGCUGAUGCUUUUUCUGUGCAAAAGUUCCAUGGUGUUGUGAGAAACCAGAGUCAGGUCAGGAAGCUUAGAGAAAGCACACUGAACCACUUUCUAUGUAUUGCUGUUGUCCUGGUUUGAGAUGAGGAAACGUAUGCACUUGAACAACCGGAAGGUCAGUAGUGUCCUGAGUGUGAAAAAGGAACUCUGUCUUAUGCCAGCUGCCAUCUUGUAUCUGCAGUUCAUGGAAUUAGAGAGAGUAUUAAAUACAUAUCAAACUAUACAUUUCAAAACACAGAGAGAAUCUAGAACUCAAGGAACCGGAGAAGCAAAUGAGAGAUCUAUUCUCUUGUCAAUGCAUGUAACAUUUGUGUGAUUUUUUUUUUUUUUUUUUCCAAGGACCAUCUCCCAAUCCAUUGAAGAAAAAACAUCUGUCAAAAUUCUAACUUGCUAUAAAGCUUGAUGAGGGCUUGAACUAUGAGACUAAUACAUUUCUAUAUUGCCUAGGCUUCUGCUUGGAUUUAAUAUGCAUUCUUAGGAGUUAUGGGGAAAUCAGCUCCAUUUUUUGUCAUGAACUUGUUUGGUUAUUUUAAUUUUUAGAAAAUCUCAAUAAAAACUGUUACCUUAUAAAAAUAUAAAAUAACAGUAUAACACUGUUUGGGGAUGUGGGAGUCUUGAUGUUUGCAGUCACUCCUCUCUUGCCCAACCAGUCAAAGCAGCAGGUACAGUGGAGACAGUUGAAAAGUGAAAUCCCUGCAGGAAGGGAUAAGUGAGAUUCUCCAGGAAAUCUGUACAGUACAUAGUUUCCUGAAGAGAGAGAGAUGUCUCAUAGAAUCUCACAGAAAAACUACACUUUUCAAUAGCCAUCACUGCAUGUCUUACCUUCUUCCACAACAAAAACCCAAAUCUGAUGUACUUCUAUAAAUAUAGGGCCUGAUUCUUCACUGCUUUUCACUUUUUGCAGUAAUUUAUACCAGUGCAAAGUGCUACAGGUCUAAGUGUGUUGAAAAUUCUGAUCUGGUAACAUUUUAUACCCACUUAAUACAGUUUCCAGUUUGAAAAGCACCUGUCAUCAUGCCAUCUGUCUGAACACAGAUCUCCCAGUGAAUUUGAAAGAGUUCCACCCCUAGAAUGAUGAUAGGUUAAGGCUAAGUCCUUUGUUCUCUUUAGCACAGCAUAGAAUUGGAUAUUUUAGGUUCUCUGUAAUAAAAAUAUAUUGCUACAAGAGUCAGUGGUAAAGGCAACAUCUUGCCUGUUAAUGGAGUUGAUCUAAUAAUUAUUGGAAUUUUAUUAGCUUUUUCAGAUUUUUCCAAGUUCAAAAAAAUUUAUUUUAGCCAAUGAAAGUUUGUCCAUCAUCAGUUUAUUACAUAAGUAGACGAUUGCCCUGUAACUAGUGAAGUUAAUGACAUUCAGUCAUCAAAAGAUUAACUUCUAGCCUGUAAUGAACUUGCCCUCUUCCAGCAGUUUGGUUUUAUUCAGAUAACAUCAUCAGAAUAUAUAGCUCAGCCUAAGCUUUCACCCCAUGCCUGGCUGUUCCAGGAUUUCCUGAAGAACCUCCAUGUACUACCCUAAGUUGCCUCCGAAGAGAGGGUCCUGUCACCUCUCAGGUUCUGGUAGCAUUAACAAGCAGGGUCCACUGAGUCUGAUGCUAAGAGCAAAGACAGAUUCCCUGCAUAACUGCAAUUGCUGUUAGCAUUUGGAUAUAUCUUGAAUUUAAUAUAAAAUGGUCAACAUAUGGAGAGACUUGCUAAACAAUAUGAGAAGUGUGCUUCAUGUUAUGAAAAUCUAAAUGACUCUUGUAAUGAUAGAAGGAAAAAUAAAUGCCCAAAGCUUAUAUUUGUUUUAAUAACGCCAAAAUGUAUUUACCAUGCAUUCGUCUGUAAGCACCUUUGGUUCAAGUAGUGUAUUUGCUUCAAACAUUUGACCAUUCCAGCCUUUGAAGCUAACUGAUGUUUUCUGAGCAUCUGCCUCAUUUGUUCCCCACACUGGUGUGUUCAGACAGUGAACGGUGAUGGUAUGGGCUGCUUCUGAGCUCAGUAAAUGAAGAAAGUUCAUCUGCACUUUUCCAACUCCAAACUCCAACUAGUUUACAAAAAUGCGUUGUUAGACAUAACAGUUGUAUCAUGCUCAAUGGCCAACAAUCAGAAAGAUUUUGGCAAUAUAAAUACAGUACUUAUAGGGGAUAUUAACUGUACCAGUUAAUUUGGUUGACAAACCAAAAUGCAUGUGUCUCCUGCUUUCUUCAGAAGACUUGUCAGGUGUGUAUAUAUAUAUAUACACAAGAGUGGAAUCCCAUAAUCAUCAUAAUGAAUGAAUACAAUUGUAUACAAGUAUAUACACUUGUAUAACUUACAUUUUCAAAGCUUGUUUUAAAAUUAAUUAAUUCUCAGUACACCCCUGAAAUGUAGGUAGGUAGAUAUCCUUAUUUUGCAGAUAGGAAACUGAUUCAAAGAAUGGUUAAGUGAUUCAAAGGAAGAUAUGCACUAAAAGAAGUGAGAGUUUGGAUCAGAGUUCAGAAGUUCUUUGCUCCCGGUCUUGUUUUCAGUCCACUAUAUUGCUCUGCCUCUCAACACCUAGAUUUUAUUAACAACCUGAGAUAUUACAAGACACAGAGAGAGAGGCGAUAUACAUUGAGCUAUAUAUGGAAAAUGUAAUUUUUCUUGCUUUAUUCUUAAUACAUAUUUGCAAGAAGUAGUAUAUAUAGAGGGCCAACCUAUGCCCCCUAAAUCUGGACACACAGGAGACCCUCUGUGCAGAGAUCUCACCUCUCCUAAUCAGAGAGGUGUCAGUUGCCUGGGCUGCACCAUCCUCCAGGCCUUGUGAAGGACUCUCCCCAGGAUUGGAAUCUGCCUAGAAGAGACAGGGCAGGGACUGGGCAGUUAGUAGGUGGUGCAUGUUGGGUGAGGACUAAGCCUUGAAAAUAUAAUACAUUUCUGUGGUGUCCUCCAUAAGGGGGAAAUGCCCUUGAAGAGGGAUACUGGGGGAAGCAAUGGCUAGGGGAGGCCCUUGCUCAUGUGGAUCCUCCAGUGGAGCUGUGCUGACUGGCAGAGAGAGUAGGAUGUUCUGGAGAUACAGUUGGCAUAAAGGACACAGGUGCUCCACAUAGACAGCAUCCCAGGAAGCUCUAUGGAGUACGGAGCAGAACCAUGGCUCAUUCUAUUGGAAUGGGAGGGCCCAACCUGAAUAACAAUGUGGGAGAAACCCAAUGAGGGGAAACACUUGGCUUUUUCCUCCCAUGGGCAAUCUGGCCCACAGCCCUACAGAUGUGGUACAGUACAGUUCAGUUAAAGUACAUAGGUAAAACUCCACAGAAAAUCAAGUCCCCAUUCCAAAAGGCUUGCAGUCUAAAUGUAAAUAGAUGUUAGGAUGCAUUUAGUGAAAUGAAAAGAAAACCAGUUUGUACUGAGUACUUCGGUGACAUGUUCAAGAGCAGAGACCCUGAUGUCAAUUCACAUUUUAAUGAUGACUACAGUGCGCAAUACAGGUAUGGGGCAUUUAAAAUAUUAUAGACAGAUUAAAGAGAGACCCAUAAAGGUAGUCACAUAGAGACAUACAUGAAAAGAAACACAUAAUCAAAUGAAACAGAGGAACACAGAUCUAAUUUAUGGUGAAAUAAAGCUGGUUAGCACUGAGAAAUCUGACAUGCCAGCAUAUAUUGGGUGGGUCAGUGUUCACUUAUUCGGAGUUUAAGCACAGAAACAUAUCCUAAUGAGAAGCAAUGCAUACCUUUGUCACAGAUACAGGUGACACACAUGUCUGGCCACCAGCAGUGAAGUUGCAGAAAACCUCAAUGGCAUCAGAAGGACAUCCAAUAUUUGGGUCAAUCCAGUAUUUUCCUAUCAAUUUAUAAUCCCAGAUAAAAGGUAAAAAAAGAUAUAACUGCUGUUAAACAACUUUCUGAAUAAAAUUUCCAUAAUUUUUGGCAAAUGUUAGAAG